rnacentral:rRNA from 1 species
UACGUAGGGUGCAAGCGUUAAUCGGAAUUACUGGGCGUAAAGCGUGCGCAGGCGGCUUUGCAAGACAGAUGUGAAAUCCCCGGGCUUAACCUGGGAACUGCAUUUGUGACUGCAUGGCUGGAGUGCGGCAGAGGGGGAUGGAAUUCCGCGUGUAGCAGUGAAAUGCGUAGAUAUGCGGGAGGAACACCGAUGGCGAAGGCAAUCCCCUGGGCCUGCACUGACGCUCAUGCACGAAAGCGUGGGGAGCAAACAGG